AUGAACGCUGGCGGCGUGCCUAAUACCUGCAAGUCGAGCGAACAGAUGAGGAGCUUGCUCCUCUGACGUUAGCGGCGGACGGGUGAGUAACACGUGGAUAACCUACCUAUAAGACUGGGAUAACUUCGGGAAACCGGAGCUAAUACCGGAUAAUAUAUUGAACCGCAUGGUUCAAUAGUGAAAGACGGUUUUGCUGUCACUUAUAGAUGGAUCCGCGCCGCAUUAGCUAGUUGGUAAGGUAACGGCUUACCAAGGCAACGAUGCGUAGCCGACCUGAGAGGGUGAUCGGCCCCACUGGAACUGAGACCCGGUCCAGACUCCUACGGGAGGCAGCAGUAGGGAAUCUUCCGCAAUGGGCGAAAGCCUGACGGAGCAACGCCGCGUGAGUGAUGAAGGUCUUCGGAUCGUAAAACUCUGUUAUUAGGGAAGAACAAAUGUGUAAGUAACUAUGCACGUCUUGACGGUACCUAAUCAGAAAGCCACGGCUAACUACGUG
rnacentral:rRNA from 1 species